rnacentral:lncRNA from 1 species
GUAGAAGUAGAAGAAGAAGAAGAAGGAAAAGGAAGAGGGGGUGAAGUAGAAGGAGGAGGAAUCAUAUUGGUGCGAGUGCAGCGCGCCAUAUUCUUUGUCCUAUGACACGGCGAAGUUAAAGCUCGCUGGCUAAAUUUAAACGCAGGCACCAGGGCUCCGGAGUCUGAGGCUGAGCAGGAGCAGCCGCCAGAAAGCAGAGCACGUGCUUCGAGCUCUCAGGUGGAUCGAUGUCGAGACCGCGACGUUGCAGUUUCUUCCUAGAAUUUUUAUGAAGUCAAACCUUUUUUCGGCUUUCCAAUUGAAAAUAUAUGCAAGUCGAAAAGAAACGAGAGAGAGAGAGAAAUAAACGAAAGAAGAUCCUUCCGAGAUCAACAAGACACCCAACGAUUAUUUUUAAGAAGAAAACUAAAGAAAAUGUCACGACGAUUGAAAAAUUCUUGAAUGAUGCAGUUGGAUGAUGCAUACAAACUUGUAUGAGUGUACUAAUCGUUUAAUUUUUCGAUAAUUUUACAUACGACGACAACUUUCAGAAAUUUACAAAUAUUUAAAGGAACCCCACGCGUAUAACGAACGUUAUCUCAUCUCUCUGUCAUAUUUCGUAAUAGAUAACAAAACAUUGGGAAGAAGGAAGGGGAAAUAAAAUCAAGUUAAUCGAGUUAUUGAUAAAUAUUGCUCCCAGGGGUCUUUCAAAAUCGGCACGAAUUCUUUUUUUUUUUUUUUUUCUUCGAAACGAUUCAUAUUUUCAUCGACCAUUUUCGCAAAAUUAUUUCUACGUAUAUAAAAAAUUGUAAUUUUGAAGAUUAUAAAUUGAAUAUAUUCAAACCUUUUUUUUACAAAUAACAAUAUGUAUUUGAAAACAUGACAAAUGAUUUGUAAUUCUAACAAUUUUGAUAAUACUUUUUAAACACAUCUUUUUUCUAUCCAAGAAACAAAUGGACUUUCAAGUAUUAAUGAAUUUUUUUUGUUGAGAUCUUUAUAAAAAUAUAUAUUUUGUUAAACCAAAAACGUGGAAUAAUUUCUGGAUGAUUUCAAUAUCGUUAAAUUGCCAAGUAAAUGGUAUUGUCAAAAGAAAACGUAAAGAAUUGAUAUAAAUAUACAAUAUAUCUAUUAUUAUUAUUACGUUACACGAGAGGAAAAAUACAAGAAAAACUUACGCCAUUCUCUAUUGGAUAUUCAUUUGCCUUUCAUUUUGUAUAAAAGCGCGUAUUGUAAUAUUACGAAUGUUCCGCAUGCCAUGAAUAAAAUGAAGGGAAACUUAGUUUUGUAUUGUCGGCGAACGUGAAGAAGGAAAAAAGAAAAAUAUAUAUGUAAAAAGGAAGAAAGAAAGAAAGAGAGAGAGAGAGAGAGAGAGAGAGAGAAAGAAAGAAAGAGAGAGAGAGAAAAAAAAAGGAAAAAAAGAAGAACAGAAUCAAACUACUCCUACGUAAUUUCGUAUAGAAUUCUUUUCCCGCAUUUUGUGAGAUUUCAAAUGUAUGCAAUAAAAUAUAAUAAAAUGAAACAAAAGGAAAGAAGACAGAGAUUCCGAAUAUAUUCCAAACGAAUAUUUGUAAAAAAAAAUU